rnacentral:rRNA from 1 species
GAUGAACGCUCGCGAUAGGCUUAACACAUGCAAGUCGAGGGGUAACGUGUUGGAAGCUUGCUUCCGAUGACGACGACCGGCGGAUGGGUGCGUAACGCGUAUGCAACUUGCCUCACAGUGGAGAAUAACCCGGAGAAAUCCGGACUAAUACUCCAUACACUCUUAAGUACGCCUGUACAUGAGAGGAAAGAUUUAUCGCUGUGAGAUAGGCAUGCGUCCUAUUAGGUAGUUGGUGAGGUAACGGCUCACCAAGCCGACGAUAGGUAGGGGUGCUGAGAGGCAGAUCCCCCACAUUGGGACUGAGACACGGCCCAAACUCCGACGGGAGGCAGCAGGGAGGAAUAUUGGUCAAUGGAGGAAACUCUGAACCAGCCAAGUCGCGUGAAGGAAGAAUGUCCUAAGGAUUGUAAACUUCUUUAGCGAGCGAGUAAGGACUUCCACGUGAUGGGAGUUUGAAAGUAGCUCGAGAAUAAGUAUCGGCUAACUCCGUG